rnacentral:rRNA from 1 species
UACGGGGGGGGCAAGCGUUGUUCGGAAUUACUGGGCGUAAAGGGCUCGUAGGCGGCCAACUAAGUCACACGUGAAAUCCCUCGGCUCAACCGGGGAACUGCGUGUGAGACUGGAUGGCUUGAGUUUGGGAGAGGAAUGCGGAAUUCCAGGUGUAGCGGUGAAAUGCGUAGAUAUCUGGAGGAACACCGGUGGCGAAGGCGGCAUUCUGGACCAACACUGACGCUGAUGAGCGAAAGCUAGGGGAGCAAACGGG